CUUGGGCCAUUUCUCCAGC
rnacentral:misc_RNA from 1 species